CUGGGUGCAGCAGGCGCGAAAACUUUGCAAUACACGAAAGUGUGACAGGGUCAUCCCGAGUGCCGACCGCUGAGGUUGGCUUUUACCCUGUCCAGAAAGCUGGGGGAAUAAGGAGAGGGCAAGUCUGGUGUCAGCCGCCGCGGUAAUACUCAGCUCUCCGAGUGGUGUGGAUGUUUAUUGGGCCUAAAGCAUCCGUAGCUGGCUGAACAAGUCCCCUGUUAAUCCCACCGAGUUUAUCGUUGGUCUGCGGGGGAUACUGCUUGGCUAGGGGAUGAGAGAGGCUGGAGGUAUUCUCGGUGUAGGGGUGAAAUCCUAUAAUCCCGGGAAGACCUCCAGUGGCGAAGGUUGCCUGGUAGAGCGCGCCCGACGGUGAGGGAUGAAAGCUGGGGGAGCGAACCGGAUUAGAUACCCGGGUAGUCCCAGCUGUUAACGAUGCAGACUAGGUGUUUGGACGGCCACGUGCCGUUCUAGUGCCGCAGGGAAGCCGUUAAGUCUGCCGCCUCGGGAGUACGAUCGCAAGCUUGAAACUUAAAGGAAUUGGCGGGCGAGCAC
rnacentral:rRNA from 1 species